AUGGCGACCCCCGUCGCCUCCCCUCUCCUCCUCCCCUCCCCGGCCCCAACCUUCCCGCCCCGCCGCCUCACCUCCAUACGUCGCCUCCUCCUCACCUCCCCCCCGCACGCCGGCCGCCCGCGCCUCCGCGACCCGCCGCCGGCGCCGGUGGAGGAGGCCGCCGCCGCCACCGUGGAGGAGUACGAGGCGCCUCCGCUCAGGCUCCUCGACCCGCCGCAGGAGGAAGAGCCCUACCCGGAUGAGAUGGAGGCGGCCGACCCGGACUUCUACCGGAUCGGGUACGCCCGGAUGAUGCGCGCCUACGGGGUCGAGUUCCUCGAGGGCCCCGACGGCAUGGGCGUCUACGCCUCCCGGGACGUCGACCCGCUCCGCCGAGCCAGGGUGAUAAUGGAGAUUCCAUUGGAGCUCAUGCUGACUAUAACUAAAAAUCAUCCUUGGAUGUUCUUUCCUGACAUUAUCCCACUAGGACAUCCUAUAUUCGAUAUUAUCGAGUCAACAAAUCCAGAGACAGAUUGGGAUUUAAGAUUAGCCUGCCUUCUUCUCUAUGCAUUUGAUGUAGAAAACAACUUUUGGCAGUUAUACGGUGAUUUUUUGCCUAGUGGUGAUGAAUGCACCAGCCUGCUUCUGGCACCGAAGGAGGAUCUAAUGGAACUGGAAGACGAAGAUCUGUCCUCAGAGAUGUUAAAACGCCAGCAGCGAGCAGUUGAUUUUUGGCAGAAACACUGGCACAAAGCAAUCCCUCUCAAGCUAAAGCGGCUUGCCCCUGACCACGAGAGAUUUCUCUGGGCAUUGAGCAUUGUUCAGUCUCGCUCUUUCAACUUGAAUAUGAGAAUGGGAGCUUUCAUUCAAGAUGCAAAUGUCCUAGCUCCUUAUGCCGAUAUGCUGAAUCACUCACCUGAUGCUAACUGUUUCCUGCAUUGGCGUUUCAAAGAUCGAAUGCUUGAAGUUAUGAUUAAGGCGGGGCAUGCUAUCAAAAAAGGAGAUGAGAUGACAAUCGAUUAUAUGAGUGCGGUGAACAGCACGUUGAUGCAAAGAUAUGGCUUCUCAUCACCAACGAAUCCCUGGGAACAUAUAAACUUCUCGAGCCCUGCCAAGAUCCACCUGGAUUCUUUCCUGUCAGUCUUCAACAUAGCUGGCCUGCACGACGAGCUGUACCACAACGUUGCAUUGACAUCGGGAGAAAGCACCUUUGUUGACGGAGGAGUGGUGGCAGCAGCAAGAACUCUGCCGACAUGGUCGGACGGUGACCUUCCUGCCAUACCGAGCGUGGAGAGAAAAUCCGCUCAGGCGUUGCAGGAGGAGUGCCGGAAGAUGGUGGAGUCUUUCUCGACCACGAUCCAACAGGACGAGGAGAUCCUAGAUUCCGACGAGCCUAUGAGGAAAACACGCGAAAUCGCGAUCAAGUACCGGCUGCACCGGAAGCUGCUCUUGCAGAAGAUCAUCGACUCGCUGGAGAUCUACCAGGAUCGGAUUCUGUUCUAG
rnacentral:rRNA from 1 species